rfam:Bacilli bacterium VT-13-104 contig005, whole genome shotgun sequence.
UUAAUCCUGAUAUGUUUGUUCAUUUAACGUAUUUUGACCGAACAACAUUUUAAAAGGGAGCUUUACGUUUUUAUAUUGCAUGGAUGCCGUUACAAUACACGGAACCAUAAUAAAUAUAAAAUAGGGCACCCACCUGCUAAAUGCGGGAUCAAAACAUAAAAUGGACGGCAUGAUCGGGAUUAAG